UACGGGGGGGGCGAGCGUUGUCCGGAUUCAUUGGGCGUAAAGCGCGCGUAGGCGGCUUCGUAAGUCGGCCGUGAAAUCUCCAGGCUUAACUUGGAGGGGUCGGGCGAGACUGCGGAGCUCGAGGUGGGCAGAGGGCAGUGGAAUUCCGGGUGUAGUGGUGGAAUGCGUAGAGAUCCGGAGGAACACCAGUGGCGAAGGCGGCUGCCUGGGCCUGGCCUGACGCUGAGGCGCGAAAGCGUGGGGAGCGAUCCGG
rnacentral:rRNA from 1 species